CAUCUGCACACACAGCAUGUCAACAUAAAGCUAGCAGCAAAGAAGCCAGAUUCAUGUUGAGGCUGAGUGUAUUCUGACCCCAGCUCAGGUGAAGCCUGAACUUCAGCAGAUUUGCUGCUGUGCUUGGGAUCAUUCUCCUGCUGCAUGACUUGGUUUCAGCCAAGUUUUAGCUAUCGGACAGAUGGAUUUACAUUUGACUCUAGAAUACUUUGAUAUGCAGAGGAUUUCAUUAUGAUUGACGGCAAGGUGUCCAGGUCCUGUGGCUGCAGAAGAAGCCCAAAUCAUUAACCCUCCACCCCUGCGGCUGAUAGUUGAUAUGAGAGAGAAGAGCCUUCCAUUCAAGCCAUACUUGUUCUUUUUCUAAUUUUACUGUUAACUGUGACCUAAGAUGUGGUUCGUGGACGUUUUGCAUUGGAUGGUCUGACCUUGAGGCUGAUUUUGCUGGGACAUCCACUCCUGGGGAGAUUGUGUCAUUUAGUUAAUGUAGACUUAAAUACUCCAGACCAGCAAACUGCCCAAACUUCUGGGUUUAUAGAGUGAAUAGCUUGUCAGGCUUCUUCCUGACAGCGGGGGUCAGUCGAUAAAAACGAAGCACUGCGUUGGCCCUCCAAUCAAUACUGCUUUCUUGGGUUCCCUCAGCAGGAGCUGCUUUUAUAACUCGGUGAUGUUGCAUAUUAAAUUGUGGUGUUAAAUAUAGCUGCCUUGCAGUAUGAUGUUAAGCGGUGAAAUAUUCGUUUUGUGCUCACUACAUUAACAUUCCUUUUUGGUUGACUGAUUUGGUACACAAAUGAAAUGCUGAAACACCAACUGGAAGAAUGAAAUGAUUAAAAUUUUUCCAUGAAAUUGCAAUAUUUCAUUGCUUUUCUAGUUUGCAUAGUUUACAGACCACACCAGAGGC